GGCUGGUCCAAAGGUAGUGAGUUAUCUCACUUGAUUGUUCACAGUCAGUUACAGAUUGAUCUCCUUGUUCUACUACUUUCCCUCUUCCUCACUACUGCACUUGACUAGUCUUAA
rnacentral:Y_RNA from 1 species